UACGUAGGUGGCAAGCGUUACUCGGAAUCACUAGGCGUAAAGCGCAGGUAGGCGGUUCGGUAAGUCUCUUGUGAAAGCUCCCGGCUCAACUGGGAGAGGUCAAGGGAAACUACCGGGCUAGAGUGUGGCAGAGGAAGCUGGAAUUCCUGGUGUAGCGGUGAAAUGCGCAGAUAUCAGGAGGAACACCGGUGGCGAAGGCGGGUCUCUGGGCCGUAACUGACGCUGAGGAGCGAAAGCAUGGGGAGCGAACAGG
rnacentral:rRNA from 1 species